AGUGAACGCUGGCGGCGUGCUUAACACAUGCAAGUCGAACGAGAACGGGUUAUAGCUUGCUAUAAUUGUCAGCUAAGUGGCGCACGGGUGAGUAAUGUAUAGGUAAUAUGCCUCUUACUAAGGGAUAACAAAUGGAAACGUUUGCUAAUACCUUAUACUCCUUAUUAACAGAAGUUAAUAAGGGAAAGAUUUAUUGGUAGAGAUUAGCCUGUAUUGUAUCAGUUAGUUGGAGGGGUAAUGGCUUACCAAGACUAUGACACAUAACUGGUUUGAGAGGAUGAUCAGUCACACUGGAACUGAGACACGGUCCAGACUCCUACGGGAGGCAGCAGUGGGGAAUAUUGCACAAUGGACGAAAGUCUGAUGCAGCAACGCCGCGUGGAGGAUGACACAUUUCGGUGCGUAAACUCCUUUUAUAUGAGAAGAUAAUGACGGUAUUAUAUGAAUAAGCACCGGCUAACUCCGUGCCAGCAGCCGCCGUAA
rnacentral:rRNA from 1 species